rnacentral:rRNA from 1 species
GGUUAAGUGACUAAGCGUACACGGUGGAUGCCUAGGCAGUCAGAGGCGAUGAAGGGCGUGCUAAUCUGCGAAAAGCGUCGGUAAGGUGAUAUGAACCGUUAUAACCGGCGAUACCCGAAUGGGGAAACCCAGUGUGUUUCGACACACUAUCAUGUCAUGAAUACAUAGUGGCAUGAGGCGAACCGGGGGAACUGAAACAUCUAAGUACCCCGAGGAAAAGAAAUCAACCGAGAUUCCCCCAGUAGCGGCGAGCGAACGGGGAGGAGCCCAGAACCUGAAUCGGCUUGUGUGUUAGUGGAAGCGUCUGGAAAGUCGCGCAGCAAAGGGUGAUAGCCCCGUACACUAAAAUGCACAGGUCGUGAGUUCGAUGAGUAGGGCGGGACACGUGACAUCCUGUCUGAAUAUGGGGGGACCAUCCUCCAAGGCUAAAUACUCCUGACUGACCGAUAGUGAACCAGUACCGUGAGGGAAAGGCGAAAAGAACCCCGGCGAGGGGAGUGAAAUAGAACCUGAAACCGUGUACGUACAAGCAGUGGGAGCACCUUCGUGGUGUGACUGCGUACCUUUUGUAUAAUGGGUCAGCGACUUAUAUUUUGUAGCAAGGUUAACCGUAUAGGGGAGCCGUAGGGAAACCGAGUCUUAACUGGGCGAAUAGUUGCAAGGUAUAGACCCGAAACCCGGUGAUCUAGCCAUGGGCAGGUUGAAGGUUGGGUAACACUAACUGGAGGACCGAACCGACUAAUGUUGAAAAAUUAGCGGAUGACUUGUGGCUGGGGGUGAAAGGCCAAUCAAACCGGGAGAUAGCUGGUUCUCCCCGAAAGCUAUUUAGGUAGCGCCUCGUGAACUCAUCUUCGGGGGUAGAGCACUGUUUCGGCUAGGGGGCCAUCCCGGCUUACCAAACCGAUGCAAACUCCGAAUACCGAAGAAUGUUAUCACGGGAGACACACGGCGGGUGCUAACGUCCGUCGUGAAGAGGGAAACAACCCAGACCGCCAGCUAAGGUCCCAAAGUCAUGGUUAAGUGGGAAACGAUGUGGGAAGGCACAGACAGCCAGGAUGUUGGCUUAGAAGCAGCCAUCAUUUAAAGAAAGCGUAAUAGCUCACUGGUCGAGUCGGCCUGCGCGGAAGAUGUAACGGGGCUAAACCAUGCACCGAAGCUGCGGCAGCGACGCUUAGGCGUUGUUGGGUAGGGGAGCGUUCUGUAAGCCGUUGAAGGUGGCCUGUGAGGGUUGCUGGAGGUAUCAGAAGUGCGAAUGCUGACAUAAGUAACGAUAAAGCGGGUGAAAAGCCCGCUCGCCGGAAGACCAAGGGUUCCUGUCCAACGUUAAUCGGGGCAGGGUGAGUCGACCCCUAAGGCGAGGCUGAAAAGCGUAGUCGAUGGGAAACAGGUUAAUAUUCCUGUACUUGGUGUUACUGCGAAGGGGGGACGGAGAAGGCUAGGCUGGCCGGGCGACGGUUGUCCCGGUUUAAGCGUGUAGGGGGUGUGACCUGGUAAAUCCGGUUGCAUAUCAACCCUGAGGCGUGAUGACGAUGCACUACGGUGCAGAAGUAGUUGAUGCCCUGCUUCCAGGAAAAUCCUCUAAGCUCCAGGUAACAUUAAAUCGUACCCCAAACCGACACAGGUGGUCAGGUAGAGAAUACCAAGGCGCUUGAGAGAACUCGGGUGAAGGAACUAGGCAAAAUGGUGCCGUAACUUCGGGAGAAGGCACGCUGGCAUGUAGGUGAAGUCCCUUGCGGAUGGAGCUGAAGCCAGUCGAAGAUACCAGCUGGCUGCAACUGUUUAAUAAAAACACAGCACUGUGCAAACACGAAAGUGGACGUAUACGGUGUGACGCCUGCCCGGUGCUGGAAGGUUAAUUGAUGGGGUCAGCCGCAAGGCGAAGCUCUUGAUCGAAGCCCCAGUAAACGGCGGCCGUAACUAUAACGGUCCUAAGGUAGCGAAAUUCCUUGUCGGGUAAGUUCCGACCUGCACGAAUGGCGUAAUGAUGGCCAGGCUGUCUCCACCCGAGACUCAGUGAAAUUGAACUCGCUGUGAAGAUGCAGUGUACCCGCGGCAAGACGGAAAGACCCCGUGAACCUUUACUAUAGCUUGACACUGAACAUUGAGCCUUGAUGUGUAGGAUAGGUGGGAGGCUUUGAAGCGUGGACGCCAGUCUGCGUGGAGCCAUCCUUGAAAUACCACCCUUUAAUGUUUGAUGUUCUAACUCUGCCCCGUAAUCCGGGGUGAGGACAGUGUCUGGUGGGUAGUUUGACUGGGGCGGUCUCCUCCCAAAGAGUAACGGAGGAGCACGAAGGUUAGCUAAUCACGGUCGGACAUCGUGAGGUUAGUGCAAAGGCAUAAGCUAGCUUGACUGCGAGAGUGACGGCUCGAGCAGGUACGAAAGUAGGUCUUAGUGAUCCGGUGGUUCUGAAUGGAAGGGCCAUCGCUCAACGGAUAAAAGGUACUCCGGGGAUAACAGGCUGAUACCGCCCAAGAGUUCAUAUCGACGGCGGUGUUUGGCACCUCGAUGUCGGCUCAUCACAUCCUGGGGCUGAAGUAGGUCCCAAGGGUAUGGCUGUUCGCCAUUUAAAGUGGUACGCGAGCUGGGUUUAGAACGUCGUGAGACAGUUCGGUCCCUAUCUGCCGUGGGCGUUGGAAGAUUGAGAGGGGUUGCUCCUAGUACGAGAGGACCGGAGUGAACGCACCACUGGUGUUCGGGUUGUCAUGCCAAUGGCAUUGCCCGGUAGCUAAGUGCGGAAAAGAUAAGCGCUGAAAGCAUCUAAGCGCGAAACUUGCCUCAAGAUGAGUCUUCCCUGGGCCUUUAAGGCCCCUGAAGGAACGUUUAAGACUAAGACGUUGAUAGGCUGGGUGUGUAAGUGCAGCGAUGCAUUGAGCUAACCAGUACUAAUGAUCCGUGAGGCUUAACCUU